CGGGUGAGUAAUGCGUGACCAACCUGCCCCAUGCUCCAGAAUAGCUCUUGGAAACGGGUGGUAAUGCUGGAUGCUCCAACUUGACGCAUGUCUUGUUGGGAAAGUGUUUAGUGGCAUGGGAUGGGGUCGCGUCCUAUCAGCUUGUAGGCGGGGUAAUGGCCCACCUAGGCUUCGACGGGUAGCCGGCCUGAGAGGGCGACGGCCACAUUGGGACUGAGAUACGGCCCAGACUCCUACGGGAGGCAGCAGCA
rnacentral:rRNA from 1 species